rnacentral:rRNA from 1 species
AGUGAACGCUGGCGGUAGGCCUAACACAUGCAAGUCGAACGGCAGCACAGGAGAGCUUGCUCUCUGGGUGGCGAGUGGCGGACGGGUGAAGAAUACAUCGGAAUCUACUCUGUCGUGGGGGAUAACGUAGGGAAACUUACGCUAAUACCGCAUACGACCUACGGGUGAAAGCAGGGGACCUUCGGGCCUUGCGCGAUUGAAUGAGCCGAUGUCGGAUUAGCUAGUUGGCGGGGUAUAGGCCCACCAAGGCGACGAUCCGUAGCUGGUCUGAGAGGAUGAUCAGCCACACUGGAGCUGAGACACGGUCCAGACUCCUACGGGAGGCAGCAGUGGGGAAUAUUGGACAAUGGGCGCAAGCCUGAUCCAGCCAUACCGCGUGGGUGAAGAAGGCCUUCGGGUUGUAAAGCCCUUUUGUUGGGAAAGAAAUCCAGCUGGCUAAUACCCGGUUGGGAUGACGGUACCCAAAGAAUAAGCACCGGCUAACUUCGUGCCAGCCGCCGCGGUAA